GGGUCUUCCCCUCAGGGCACUGGUCUCACACUAGGCCCCACCCUCAUGACCUCAUCUCUUUCCUGUGAGCUCACAAAUAGUAGGACUCCAGAGGCGGUGUUCACAAGUCUUAGCUUGACUGGAGAGUCAAGCUAAGGGAGCAAUGGAAGAGGGAGGGCUAUGCAGGCCCAGACUGAGCGUCCUGAUAAGUACUAUCUAACAACCUUUGGGACCUACAACUGUGACUACCUGCUCAGAGAACCUGCUUCCUGAGGCUGGGUCAGCUGUUCCGUGAAAUCCUGGGCUCACAAGGAACAAGGGUCAGUUAGGGAUGUCAGUGUUUAUACCGCCUAGCCAAUGAGUCCUCCCUCCCUGCAAGCAGUAUAUCAAAGGAGCAUGUGGAGAACACAAGCGCUCUUGGUCCAGCUUGCUGCUCUGAAUCUCCUGGCAGGCACCGUGGCCAAGCUAGUGAGUGUCUGAGGUGUUACAUGUCCAGGUUGUCAUCACUGAACCUCAGAGAACACUUAAGGAGAAGAAAAAUAGAUACCUGACGCAUUGUGGCGAUCCACCUCCACUCCCAAGCGCUAGCCUCUCCAGCACAUUAAGAAGACUCAAGAGAACAAGGCUGACUUCACAUUCUGCUCUAUUGUUAUCAUAAGAAUUUUCCAAGUUUUGAUGAUGAAAAGGGAACUUAUUCUGCUGGUGUUGGUGACUAUCAUAACAAAUAGAGUUCCAUCUUUUGCUCUGUUUUCUUUAUGAGAAAUAAACACAAAACCCUGGGUAA